AGCAAUACAUGGGUGGCGAGUGGCGCACGGGUGCGUAACACGUAUGCAAUUUGCCCAUAACUGGGGGAUAGCCCUCCGAAAGGAGGAUUAAUACCCCAUAACCCAGCGAGGUGGCAUCACCUUUCUGGUAAAUCUCCGGAGGUUAUGGAUGAGCAUGCGUCCGAUUAGCUAGUUGGUGAGGUAACGGCUCACCAAGGCAACGAUCGGUAGGGGGUCUGAGAGGAUGAUCCCCCACACGGGUACUGAGACACGGACCCGACUCCUACGGGAGGCAGCAGUAAGGAAUAUUGGACAAUGGAGGCAACUCUGAUCCAGCCAUGCCGCGUGAAGGAUGAAGGCCCUACGGGUUGUAAACUUCUUUUCUCUUAGAAAAAACUACUGGUUUCGUACCGGUACUGAUUGUACAAGAGGAAUAAGCAUCGGCUAACUUCGUGCCAGCAGCCGCGGUAAUACGAAGGAUGCAAGCGUUAUCCGGAUUCACUGGGUUUAAAGGGUGUGCAGGUGGGGUAAUAAGUCAGUGGUGAAAGCCCCCGACUCAAUCGGGGAACUGCCAUAGAUACUGUUAUUCUUGAGUGUAGUUGAGGCGGAUGGAAUAUGACAUGUAGCGGUGAAAUGC
rnacentral:rRNA from 1 species